rnacentral:tRNA from 1 species
UGCCGCGUUGUGUAGGGGUAGCACGAAGGACUUUGAAUCCUUUUGCCCAGGUUCGAAUCCUGGCGCGGCAGCCA